rnacentral:rRNA from 1 species
CGAACGCUGGCGGCACGCUUAACACAUGCAAGUCGAGCGGAGCUUUUUCACUGCCAAGCCAAGCAGCUUGCUGCGAGGGGAGGCGCGAGGGAGCUUAGCGGCGGACGGGUGAGUAACACGUGGGUAACCUACCCUAUACAGGGGGAUAACGUAUAGAAAUGUACGCUAAAACCGCAUAAGCCAACAGGGGCGCAUGCCUCGGUUGGAAAAACUCCGGUGGUAUAGGAUGGGCCCGCGACUGAUUAGCUGGUUGGCAGGGUAAAAGCCUACCAAGGCGACGAUCAGUAGCCGGUCUGAGAGGAUGGACGGCCACAUUGGGACUGAGACACGGCCCAGACUCCUACGGGAGGCAGCAGUGGGGAAUAUUGCACAAUGGGGGAAACCCUGAUGCAGCGAUGCCGCGUGAAGGAAGAAGUAUUUCGGUAUGUAAACUUCUAUCGAUGAGGAAGUGAAAAGACAGUACUCAAGUAAGAAGCCCCGGCUAACUACGUGCCAGCAGCCGCGGUAAUACGUAGGGGGCGAGCGUUAUCCGGAAUUACUGGUGUAAGGGUGCGUAGCGGCACACUAAGUCAGCUGUGAAACCUGAAGGCUACUCAGCUGCAGUGAAACUGGUGAGCUAGAGUACAGGAGGGAAGCGGAUACUAGUGUAGCGUGAAUGCGUAGAUAUCAGGAGAACCCCGGUGGCAGCGUACUGACACACUGACUUGAGC